UACGUAGGGUCCGAGCGUUGUCCGGAAUUACUGGGCGUAAAGAGCUCGUAGGUGGUUUGUCGCGUUGUUCGUGAAAACUCACAGCUUAACUGUGGGCGUGCGGGCGAUACGGGCAGACUUGAGUACUGCAGGGGGAGACUGGAAUUCCUGGUGUAGCGGUGGAAUGCGCAGAUAUCAGGAGGAACACCGGUGGCGAAGGCGGGUCUCUGGGCCGAUACUGACACUGAGAAGCGAAAGCGUGGGGAGCGAACAGG
rnacentral:rRNA from 1 species